AAUAUCCCCCCCCCCCCCCCCAAUUAGCGUUCUAGCGCCGGUCCUGGGCGUACGACCUGGGGUGAAAAGCUGGGGAGGCUGCGUGAACGGACAAUUUUUCGGACAAUACCGUACUGCAUGUAUAUUUUUGUUCAUCAGGCAAAGUUACGUGGAAAAAGUGUGGUGGAAAAAGUAUCGGAACCUGCGAACCUAGUUCCCAGAAAUGUUUUUGGAUCCCAACUUUUUCAGAAAAUUUUAUAAAAAUUUUUUUAGAUAUGACAAUUAAUUGCAAAAUAUAGUCUUUUACACUAACAAUUGGAUCUUAGUUGCAUUAAUUUUAGUUAUGCAAAGUUACUUAGUACACACGUAAAAACGUACCGCAGCUUGUAAGCAGUUUGCAAACAAGUUGUUACAAGUCUGUUCACAAGCUGUCAACAAGAUAUGUUCACACUGCUUGUUCCUAGUUUGGGACAAGUUUAGAACAAGCUGUUAACGAGUUGUAACAAUCUUGAUGGCAUGUUACAACGAAGGCUGUUCUGACAAGUUUGUUACAGCCAUGCUACAACAAGGUUGUUUACAAGUUUGACAACGCAAGGUUGUAACAGUAAUGUUGUAUAAAGCAUGUAACAGACUAGACUUGCUCCAAGUCUAUGUUUGUCGAGGGCAGGGAGCGAAACAUAGACUUGUCAACUCCAGACACGAGGCAAAAUGACCGAAAUAAAACUAUACUUUAGGAUUUCAUUUCUAAAACACUUACCAGCUUAAAUAUAAGAUAAAUCCCAUGUAGGUUCUUGUAAUUUGAUGUACAUAUUCAAAACACAAGUUCCUAAACUGGCCCAACUUGACUAUCAAAGACGCCGGCACUGUUCAUUUUUGAACAGUAAAUUUAAUAGGAAUAGUAUUGUGUCGGCUUUACUUCCGGUCCGGAGUUGACAAGUCUAUGUUUCACUCCCUCCCCUCGGCAGCUACGUCAUGUUAUUCGCACUAUAGUGGAGCGAAAAGAAACAUAGACUUGGGGCAAGUCUAGUAACGGACUUGUUGGAACAACCUUCAUGUUCAACUGGAUGUUGAACGGUAUUCCAAGUAAUUCCUUUUCUACAAAUAGUCAUUUGUUUACAAUAGUUCAAACGUAUAUUGCUGAAACUAAUAGGUUUUCUCAUUAAUCAUCGCAAAAUUGUAUUCUUUUUAGUUUUUAUGUAUGUGUGUGUGUGUUUAGUUUUUCUUCAUGUAUAUAUCUUUUUGUAUACAUGCGUGUUUGUAUAUCUAUGUUAUACGUGUGUAAGUUAUAUAUUUUGUAUGUGCAUAAACGAUUGAAAAAUACAUAAUAGUUAGUUUUUACCAAACUGUUCUGUAUUUUUCUUUCUUUUCUCUUUUCAAUUCUUUUAAAUAAAAUGUUGCAUAUUAAAUUACAUAAGUUUCCUCGAUAAGCCCUAGCUGCUUUUGAAACAAAUGUAAAGCUUAUAUAUUGUUUAAAUAAAAAAAAACCCUUCAUGUAACAAGUCUGAUAAUAUCAUUGACCUUGUCACAAGUUGUUCCAUUGUUGACAACUUGUAACAAGCAGUGCGAAGACAACUUGUUCACGGCUUGUUGGCAGACUUGUUACAAGUUGUGAGAUUUUUACGUGUCUACAACUUACAAACCUCUAUAGAUGUUAAAUAUUGCGUUUAGCUUAAACGGUGGUUAAAGUCAGAAUUAAAUAACACUCUUCUAUCUCUUGUGAAUCAGUUAACUUAAAGAUUAUGCAUUAAUAAUGCAGUUGUAAGCAUUAUCGUUCUAUUAAGUUUCAAAACUUUUAGUUUUGUUGCUUAAUGAAUUUAUAGACUUGCUUUCUAUUUUGAGCUUAACCACCGUUUAGGCUAAACGGGCUUCGUACAACCGGCCUCAGGAAAUUUAGACGCACUCACUUAGCCAUUUCGUUUCAAAAAACGCCAGAAAUGCGGUUCUAUGCGUUCUUUCUAGCUUUUGACGAUACAAUAAAACAAUUACUUAAUUCGGUUUUCGUAUGAUAUCGAAAAUUAUCAAGGCCUCGGUUUGUGUUAUCCACUUCAGCCUUCGGCUUCGGGGGAUAACUCAAACCUCGUCCUUGAUAAUUCUCGAUAUCAUACUCAACCUCAUUCAAUACUUGUUUAAUAUUCUCUCGCUUAAAUAAAUAAAAAAUAACCGUGCUUAAAUAAGGGACGGACCAUUUGAUUUUUCAUGGGGGGGGGGGGCGCAAAUCCGAAAAAAAAUAUCGAGCAUGUCUCGAAUGGAAGAAAAAAAAUCGAACAUCACUAACACAGCAAAAAAAAAUAUCGAGCACAAAAAAAUUCUAAAUUAGCAAUACUCUAUAUUGAAAGAAAAAUUCAGUUUCCCUUAGUUUUUUUCUGUUGAGUGUUUCGGUUCUGCCUUGGUUAACAAUACCGGAAGUAUACAUGCAAAAUACAAACCGAUACAAACCAGUUCUGACAACUUUCACUUCAAUAAUUCAAUUAUCCACAAAUUACCUUAAUGGUAUCCCUAAAAACCCCAAUCUUAACACUGAAAGUCCCACACUUCUGUAAAUUCGACAUCGAUUAAUGAGGGUGGGAAAGGGGGGGGGGGGUAUGAUUCACGUUUCACAACAAAAAAAUACCGUUUCACAAUUCACGUGCCAUAAAAAAGCAAUUUCACAUUUCACGGAUAACGAGACUCUAAUAAAAAUAGUAUAAUAAUAAUAGCUUUAAGAUUAUGUUUAAUGCAUGGUACAGUACUACGCUUUAAGUUCUCUUCUCUGCCUGGCAGUUAAAAACUACUUACAAGUUUGAGUGAUGAGUACGUCCGACGAUCUCCGAAAGGCCUCCGAAGUUCCUACUCUUGUGCAAUCGAGUGAGAUCGAUCAUAUAAAUUAUUAUCGCGUAUUAUGUCCAUUAUCACUAUUAUAAAAUAGAUCGGA